rnacentral:tRNA from 1 species
UGCUCAGUUGGAUGAUAGGUGAACUCCCGCCUGCCUUUGGCGCGGAGGGCGAGUUAUGGUUGAACGGGACUCGUCGGGAUCUACGCCCGACAGAGCAGC